rnacentral:rRNA from 1 species
CCCUUAGAUGUCCUGGGCUGCACGCGCGCUACACUGAUGCGUCCAAUAAGCACCUAACCUAAUCCGAAGGGACCGGGUAACCUUAGCAAAGCGCAUCGUGAUGGGGAUAGAUUAUUGCAAUUAUUAGUCUUGAACGAGGAAUUCCUAGUAAGCGCAAGUCAUCAGCUUGUGUUGAUUACGUCCCUGCCCUUUGUACACACCGCCCGUCGCUCCUACCGAUUGAAUGAUCCGGUGAAUACUUCGGACUGCAACCGGUGCGGUUUCCGUACCCUUUGCAAAAAGUUGAAUAAACCUUAUCACUUAGAGGAAGGAGAAGUCGUAACA